GACGAACGCUGGCGGCGUGCUUAACACAUGCAAGUCGAACGAUGAAGCCCUUUCGGGGGUACGACGAGCGGCGAACGGGUAGAGUAACAACGUGGGUGGACCUCGCCCUCCAGCUCUGGGAGUAAAGCCUGGGAAACGUAGGGUCGUAAUAACUGGAUAUGACUCCACGGUGCAUGUCGUGGGGUGGAAAGCCUUGUGCGGCUGAGGAUGGGCCCGGCGGCCUAUCAGCUUG
rnacentral:rRNA from 1 species